UACGUAGGGUGCAAGCGUUAAUCGGAAUUACUGGGCGUAAAGCGUGCGCAGGCGGUUGUGCAAGACAGAUGUGAAAUCCCCGGGCUCAACCUGGGAACUGCAUUUGUGACUGCACGGCUGGAGUGCGGCAGAGGGGGAUGGAAUUCCUGGUGUAGCAGUGAAAUGCGUAGAGAUCCGGAAGAACACCGGUGGCGAAGGCGGUCUGCUGGGGUCGAACUGACGCUGAGGCGCGACAGCGUGGGGAGCAAACAGG
rnacentral:rRNA from 1 species